rnacentral:rRNA from 1 species
UACGUAGGGUGCAAGCGUUGUCCGGAAUUAUUGGGCGUAAAGGGCUCGUAGGCGGUCUGUCACGUCGGGAGUGAAAACUCGGGGCUUAACCCGAGCCUGCUUCCGAUACGGGCAGACUAGAGGUAUGCAGGGAGAAUGGAAUCCUGGUGUAGCGGUGAAAUGCGCAGAUAUCAGGAGGAACACCGGUGGCGAAGGCGGGUCUCUGGGCCGAUAUUGACGCUGAGGAGCGAAAGCGUGGGAGCGAACAGG